CAGUGAGGAGUUCAUAGAAAGGUAUGGCUGGAGGUGAGGGCACGAAGGAGAGCCGCAAGCGAAAAAGAGAGGUCGCUCGGAAAGUGCGAGAAAUAAAGAUCGCUACUAUAUCCCAAACGCCAGGGCGAGACUCAGUAGAAGUGCCGCGCUCUUUGUCCCGACCUUCGAGACAGCCUAUUCCAGAGAUAGAGAUUGCUCCUUCCCCUCCUCGACAAGAUGAACCACCGCCUCUGCUGGUUUCUUCAAGUGCGG
rnacentral:misc_RNA from 1 species